AGUGAACGCUGGCGGUAGGCCUAACACAUGCAAGUCGAACGGCAGCACAGUAAGAGCUUGCUCUUACGGGUGGCGAGUGGCGGACGGGUGAGGAAUACAUCGGAAUCUACUUUUUCGUGGGGGAUAACGUAGGGAAACUUACGCUAAUACCGCAUACGACCUACGGGUGAAAGCAGGGGAUCUUCGGACCUUGCGCGAUUGAAUGAGCCGAUGUCGGAUUAGCUAGUUGGCGGGGUAAAGGCCCACCAAGGCGACGAUCCGUAGCUGGUCUGAGAGGAGGAUCAGCCACACUGGAACUGAGACACGGUCCAGACUCCUACGGGAGGCAGCAGUGGGGAAUAUUGGACAAUGGGCGCAAGCCUGAUCCAGCCAUGCCGCGUGGGUGAAGAAGGGCUUCGGGUUGUAAAGCCCUUUUGUUGGGAAAGAAAAGCAGCAGGUUAAUACCCCGCUGUUCUGACGGUACCCAAAGAAUAAGCACCGGCUAACUUCGUG
rnacentral:rRNA from 1 species